UACGUAGGGUGCGAGCGUUGUCCGGAAUUAUUGGGCGUAAAGAGCUUGUAGGCGGUUUGUCGCGUCUGCUGUGAAAUUCCAGGGCUUAACCCUGGGCUUGCAGUGGGUACGGGCAGACUAGAGUGUGGUAGGGGAGACUGGAAUUCCUGGUGUAGCGGUGAAAUGCGCAGAUAUCAGGAGGAACACCGAUGGCGAAGGCAGGUCUCUGGGCCACUACUGACGUGAGAAGCGAAAGCAUGGGGAGCGAACAGG
rnacentral:rRNA from 1 species